UGGGGAAUCUUGGACAAUGGGCGCAAGCCUGAUCCAGCCAUGCCGCGUGGAUGAUGAAGGCCUUAGGGUUGUAAAAUCCUUUCGCCGAGGACGAUAAUGACGGUACUCGGAGAAGAAGCUCCGGCUAACUUCGUGCCAGCAGCCGCGGUAAUACGAAGGGGGCUAGCGUUGUUCGGAUUUACUGGGCGUAAAGGGCGCGUAGGCGGCAAUUCAAGUCAUCUGUGAAAUCUCCGGGCUUAACUCGGAACGGUCAGAUGAUACUGCUUUGCUAGAGUGCAGAAGGGGCAAUCGGAAUUCUUGGUGUAGCGGUGAAAUGCGUAGAUAUCAAGAGGAACACCUGAGGUGAAGACGGGUUGCUGGGCUGACACUGACGCUCAGGUGCGAAAGCGUGGGGAGCAAACAGGAUUAGAUACCCCGGUAGUCCCUGAGCGGGCUGGCAAGGCGCAU
rnacentral:rRNA from 1 species